rnacentral:tRNA from 1 species
GGAGAUGUGUCCGAGCUGGCUGAAGGAGCACGAUUGGAAAUUGUGUGUAUGUGGAAACGUGUACCUAGGGUUCGAAUCCCUACAUCUCCGCCA